UAUACUUAUCUUCCUACUAGCUUCUAUCACAUCUUUGUCAUUACAGAGUAAUGCAAAUAGGGUAUGUCCUCUCUUUCUUGCCAUUCUUUUGUUCCCACCUUUUAUGGCUCUGCUAAGGACCUUAGCAGUACAUUGGUGAUGUGUAGUUUGGGAGGGUGGGGCGCUUUCAGCCUGUUGGUGUCGGGCCUUUUGGGUGUAGUCACUUCCAUGGCUCUUCUAAUCUUCCUCAUAGCUCCUUCUAUGACUGCUUUCUUAUACCCAUGUUUGGGUCCUUGUGUGCAUAUGUAUGUCGGUUCCUCUUCUCUGUCUCGCCGUCUAGUGAUGUGGAUGUGUGCU
rnacentral:lncRNA from 1 species